GGCGUGCCUAACACAUGCAAGUCGAGCGAGAAAGCUCCUUCGGGAGUGAGUACAGCGGCGGACGGGUGAGUAAAACGUGAGAAUCUGCCCUUUAGUGAAGAAUACCUUCGAGAAAUCGGAGUUAAUGCUGCAUACGUCCCUUCGGGGAGAAAGAUGGCCUCUUGCUGUCGCUAAAGGAUGAGCUCGCGCACUAUUAGCUUGUUGGUGGGGUAAAGGCCUACCAAAGCGAUGAUGGUUAGCCGGCCUGAGAGGGUGAUCGGCCACACUGGAACUUAGACACGGUCCAGACUCCUACGGGAGGCAGCAGUGGGGAAUAUUGCGCAAUGGGCGAAAGCCUGACGCAGCAACGCCGCGUGGAGGAUGACGGUUUUCGGAUUGUAAACUUCUGUUAAGUGGGAAGAAAGACUUGCCUAUAAUACAGGCGAGGGAUGACGGUACCAUUAGAGAAAGCACCGGCUAACUUCGUGCCAGCAGCCGCGGUAAUACGAGGGGUGCAAGCGUUAUUCGGAAUCAUUGGGCGUAAAGGGUGCGUAGACGGCACAUUAAGUCAACUGUUAAAUUCCUCGGCCUAACCGAGGGACAGCGGUAGAUACUGGUGAGCUAGAGGAUGGAAGAGAGAAGUGGAAUUCUCGGAGUAGCGGUAAAAUGCGUAGAUCUCGAGAGGAACACCAAUGGCGAAGGCAGCUUCUUGGUCCAUUCCUGACGUUGAGGCACGAAAGCGUGGGUAGCAAACAGGAUUAGAUACCCUGGUAGUCCACGCCGUAAACGAUGAUCACUAGAUGUCAGUUUUGUUUAACAAAAGUGGUAUCGCAGCUAACGCGAUAAGUGAUCCGCCUGGGGACUACGGUCGCAAGAUUAAAACUCAAAGGAAUUGACGGGGGCCCGCACAAGCGGUGGAACAUGUGGUUUAAUUCGACACUACGCGAGGAACCUUACCUAGGUUUGACAUGUAUUUGACAGCUCUGGAAACAGGGUCUUUUGGAUUUCGGUUCAAACAGAUACACAGGUGCUGCAUGGCUGUCGUCAGCUCGUGUCGUGAGAUGUUGGGUUAAGUCCUUUAACGAGCGCAACUCCUAUCGUCAGUUGCCACUGCGCAAGCAAGCACUCUGGCGAGACUGCCUGGGAAACCAGGAGGAAGGUGGGAAUGAUGUCAAGUCAUCAUGGUCCUUAUACCUAGGGCAACACAUGUGUUACAAUGGCUAGUACAAAGAGCAGCAAACUUGCGAAAGUAAGCUAAUCUCAUAAAACUAGUCUAAGUUCGGAUUGAGGUCUGCAACUCGACCUCAUGAAGUUGAAAUCGCUAGUAAUCGCGUAUCAGAACGACGCGGUGAUACGUUCUCGGGUCUUGUACACACCGCCCGUCACACCACGAAGCUGUCUGUACCCGAAGUUGUCUUAGCUAACCUGUAAGGAGGCGGAUACUAAGGUAUGGGGA
rnacentral:rRNA from 1 species